rnacentral:rRNA from 1 species
GACGAACGCUGGCGGCGUGCCUAAUACAUGCAAGUCGACCUUAGUGGCGAACGGGUGAGUAACACGUGGGUAACCUGCACAUCAGAAGGGGAUAACACUUGGAAACCGGUGCUAAUACCGUAUACUGAUGGAUGGACCCGCGGUGCAUGAGCUCGUUGGUGAGGUAACGGCUCACCAAGGCCACGAUGCAUAGCCGACCGGUGAGGGUGAGCGGCCACCUUGGGACUUAGACACGGCCCAAACUCCUACGGGAGGCAGACGUAGGGAAUCUUCGGCAAGGGACGAAAGUCUGACCGAGGAACGCCGCGUGAGGUGAGCAGGUUUUCGGAUCGUAAAACUCUUUUGGUAGAGAAGCGGUAUCUAACCAGAAAGCCACGGCUAACUACGUGCCAGCAGCCGCGGUAAUAC